GACAGGGCCACAAACCAAGGAGCAGCGAGGAUUGCCAGCCAACCACCCACAGCUAUCAUCAACAAGGAAGGACUCUCCCCUGCAGUUCUCAGAAAGCAUGGUCCUACUGAACUCAGUUCCAGACCUCCAGGGCUCCAGAACUAUAAAGUUUAAAGUGAGUUCAUCUGAAGAAAAUAUCAUCAUAUUAACAAAAGUGGCAUAAAAAUAUGGCAAAAACAGCAAAGGCACAGCAGGAGAAAGCACCAAGAUCUGGAGACAUGGUACUGAGGAGGACACAAGGAAGCCGCGGACCUUCCCCCCACAGGCAGUGUCCCACAGCAGUUGGGAGGACGGCACCAGAGCCAGGCUGCCUGCAACCAGGGGCAAGCUCCACCACCGCUGCCCCUUGGAUAAAGUGCCUGGCCUUUCUGUGCCUCAGUUUCAUCAUCUAUAAAACGGAGAUAAUCACUGGGCCACCUUGAAGCACUGUGAAAGGAUUAGGCAGCCAAAUACCAGCAGAGCACUCACACCCAUCCCCUGGCACAUGGUAAGAACUCAACAAGUAAGAGCCCUUUCCCAGCCUAGCAUGCCUCUCUUUGCCGGAGCGCUCCAGCCAGAAUGCCUGAGCAAACUGUGGAGGCUCAGCGCCGUUACCCUGUUUGGGUAGUCUGUUUGACUACACGUCAUGCAUGAGGCAGCUUGGCUGUGACAGACUGCCACCAGUCUGACCAAUCUGGGCAGAAACUGCAACCCUCAUCACAACCCUGGGCUCCUGCGUCACACUGACUGGCCACUUCCCAUGCAACAUGAAGGAACACUUUUCCCUCAGGACUCCCCACUGCCACUGCCCGCCCUUCUCCAAAACCCCCAAACAUUCUCCUUUUGCCUUCCUGCAGAUUCUGGUCCUGGUCACUCAAUUUAGCUCAUUUUUACAUUAGCA